CAAGGCUUCCUGCCCUCGCUGCACGCAGCCAGGCUGUUCCAGGCUCCCCAGCUGCAGGGAGGCCCUUACAUCCCAGCAGUGAGCUCAUUGUGGGCUCAGACAGAGGCCAGGGCUGUGGCCUGUGACGGGAGGGGAGAGCAAAGGGAUCCCCACAGCCAUCUGGAAUGGUCCCCAAGGGGAUGCGUGAGCCUCUGGGCAGCGUUAAGGGCGUUGGGACAUGGAGCUGGCUGAGAAAGGGACAGCGUUUGUCCAGCAGCUGAUCCAUCGGCUGGCCUGAAGCAGCAGCUCAGCUUCCAGUCUGCACCAACACCCUGGGAAUGGUGGCGAUGGGCCAGUGAGUGCUGCUGAGCAGCUGGAAGGAAGCAAGGGCAGCGAUGGACCUGGGCAGGAUGGCGAUUCUGAGCGGACAAGAGGCAUCGCUUCUGAUGCGUCAGCUUCUUGUCAAAGAGGGGUGAGGUGAAGAUUUGUGAUUAUCAAAGUGGCAGCUUGAAAAGAACCAAGCAGGCUGGGGCUGCAGCAAUCUCAAACCAAAGACAGAUGGCUUGGAGCAAGUGAAGCAGGCAUCUCACCUCCAUCUCCCAGACCUGGGUCUGCAGCUGAAGGCACCUCAUUUCCAGAUCCUCUGCUGUGGACGAGUCAGGAGCAUCUGAAAGGGAAGAUUUGUUUUUUCUAUGCACAGCCUUAAAGAAGAGCUACAGGUAAUGCAUGUCCCACAGGGCAGAUGUCCCAGCAGUCUGCCUGUACCAUAAAUGAACUCAAGCCUGUAAGAUACAGGAACUGAAUGUGAGUUCUGCAUGCUGAUCCCUGACAACUUGACUUGCGGCACUUUUAGCCUGUUUGUAUCUUUCUCAAAAGUACUUAUGAAUGAGGCUGGUGAAGUUUUAUGCUGCAGGAAGCUGAUGUGAGCAGUGCUGUUCAUAAUUAUACAAUGAGAAUUGCUUGGCUUAGUCAUAAGAAACUUCUCCGAACAUCAGCAGAUGUCCACUAAAGCUGGGUCCAGAAACCUAGGCUUAAUAGCUGGAACAAUGUACGAUGAGGUAAAAAAGGUGUUUGUGGUUUGAUAGGCGUAUGUUUCUCUGCUCAGGAAAUAGAGAAUUCACCACUGCUUUGUGCUAAGAAGAUAGUUCAGCCAUUGUAGGAAACGUGUCUGGGAUCAGCUGGAAAGUUACUGGAUUCCAAGGAAGAACUCCAGUGACUCACUCAAAGCUGGGCUCAAUUUAGAGGUAGGCUGCCUUACAGGACAAGUGAGCCUGGACCUGCAACUGCAAGCAGAUUUUUGGUUUUGCUUAGCUGUGAAUUGUCUUUUUUUUUUUUUUUCCUUCCCAGCCUCUUUGAACUCUGCAGUGGUUAGUGGUUUUUUUUUUCUUUUUUUUUUUCCUGACCAUCCUCAGGUACCUUUGUGGUUGUUUUUUGCUCAUGGAAACUUAGUAAGCCAUAGAAAAUAGGUCAGGAAAUAAUGUUUGCACUGCACCAGAAAAGCAGAGUAACUGAUGAAGUGAGAAUCUACCUUGGCAAACAGCACCACGUGUGUAACUGAUCUCGCUCACUGAAGAGGCUCUUGGGCUUUUAAGGCAAGGAUGGCUCAGAGGGAAGGUCUCCAAGCCUGUUCUGGUGCAGUACCAGGAGACCUGUAACUCUCCCACAGCUGCCAAGGGUAGAAGAAUUUUUUUUACCUUCUCCUUUCUGAAGAGUCUUCAUUUUCUCUUCAAGUUCAGCAAUCCUCCUGUCCUUCAGGACCAGAAUGAAUAAUGACCUUGUUAAGCUCCUCUGCUUUCAGGACCUUGAGGCAGUCUGCAUAAUUAGUCCUGGCUGGGUGAGUCAGUGCUGCACAUACUCUCUCAGAUGGGCAAAAUCAGGGUUGGAAAGGCUGUAUCGCCUCACAAAUGUCUUCAUCAGACUCAACUGAGGGCUGGGAUAUAACACAGUGUCUCAAAACUAGGUGAGGGACAUUGAGAACCUAUUUUCCUCGCCGCCAUCUGCAUAAGAGAUGUGGUCUCAUGUCUCCCUGCUUGGGCACAGCUUGUACCCUGAGCUGUAAGUGGCUGAUCUAGAAGCCAAACCAACAUCUUCACAGCCUCGUCUUUCUAAAAACAAAUAACAAAAAACAAAACACCCACCCACCUCCCAAAAGAAAACCAACAAAAAAACAAACCACCAACAAAAAACCACAGCUAUCUAUUCUGAACUCAGCAUUACAAAGAGGCCUGUUCGAAGGCGACUUCAGUCUCUAAGCAAAGGGAAGGAAAGAAAGGUCCGAAGUCAAACAGAUAAUGAUAUUAGUGCAAGGAUGCAGCGAGUCAUUAAUUCUUAAAGUUACAGCAGGGUCAGCACAGCAAGGACUGUUCAGUCUCAAUGUCAAGGACUGAUAUGAUUGCUCUGUUGCUUUGCAGAGGAUUAUUUGUCUAAUUAACAGAGCAGGCUAUGUCUGAGCAAGUGCAUCGCUACCUUGGCUUGAACAGUUAGAGCAGGACGCAGAACAGGCCUGGUAAAAGCCAGGGAUUUUACCUUCAGUUGAAUUUCUCGUGCUUGUUUAUCUAUUUUCUGUUCCAACAGGCUGAUUUUUUGCAUUAUGGAUGACGUGAGGUCCAUGUCAGUGGGAGCUGCACCUGAAAGCACAAACACAGCGCGUUACCUCUCUAAAAGGGCAAUUGGUACUGGAGGCAAGUCUGCACCACAGGGGACCCCAUCCGAGGACUCCAGUUCUGCCACAGCAGUGUUGUCCCCCUUGAGCAGGAGGGGAGACUGCCUUGCUCUGGGUUCUUUGACCGAGGCGACAGGCUGUCACCUGAGAAGAGGCACAAAGAGCACGGAAGAAAGAAAACAGGUCAGCAUUUUGCAUGUGACUUCUCCAAAACGAGGUGAAGAAACAUGAUGGGAACGAGAAGGGAGCAGAAAGCAGAACAACCCAAGUCUGUGCACUCUCAAAAUAAUAAGAGUACGAGGGCACCCGUUAUGGCACAGGACCCAAGGGAACACACGAUCUCAGCAGCCAAAAGGAGCGAUCACAAAACGGGGCUAGCAGAAGGAGACCGUGACGCCAACACCGAGCAUCCUGUGCUGCGCUGCGGGGCUGAAAGCGGUGGCACCGAGCUGAGCCACCAAAAAACUCAGCCUGGGAGGAACAGAAGCCGAAACCCUCGCUGGCAGGGGAGAGGCGGCUUCUGCUCUGAGAUCUAACAGAAGGAUGUGACCAAAAAUGGAACUGUAAAAGGCGAUGAAGCUCUAACGCCUGGGGGCUGCUGAGGAUGUGGAAACCCUUUGUUAUCUGAUGUUGGACACGUAGGAGAAAGAGCCACGAUCUCUGCAAAACACGCACGGUGGUUAGAAUAGCCACACCAGAAGACGCAAACAACUUAGCUCUGCCCUUUUUCUAAAAAAAAGGAGAGAAUAUGUGGAAUCAAAGGAUAAGUUAGUUAAUUUGGAGGAGAUUUGCUCGCCAGGCAAACUUCUUAAACAGGACCGAGCAGGCUGCCAAGCCCGCAGCCCUUUUCCUCACAGCCCACCUUCCCGCUGCAUACUUCGUGCACCCAGGGCUCGGCCUGGCCCCGAGCAGCAGCGGCUUGGGCCGGGUCCCCCUCAGGGUGCAGCCUCCUCGGUGCUACCCGGGCCUCCCUCAGCGCCCCGCCGCCAUCUUGUGUACCGCGCGUUGCCGCGGCGACGCCGCGCCGCUGCCAUUGGCUCGGCGCCGGUCACGUGGGGGCAGAGAGGCCGCUCGGGGACUACAAGUCCCGGCAUGCACCGCUCCGCCCCCCCCACCUGACCAGCCCUGCACGCCAGCCCCAUUAUGGCCAUUUUUAAACUUAUUUUUUUUUUGCUUAGGGGUUUCUUCAACGCUUCGUGGCGCAGCGAAGGGCAGCUGAGCUGACAUUUCCUCUACCUAACCCCUUCCUGUGCACCCCUCCCAGUCCACAGACACAGUCUGCAUCCUCAAGCUGGCCCAUAGGCAUCACACCCCACACAAACUUUAUGUUUUUUGACACAAAUUUACCCUAUUUUUGGCUCAAAGCUGGGGUCGGCCGAGCCAGCACCUGUGCCUGCAGCCGUGGCUCUUCCAGAGGGCCCUUCACCUGCAUGUCACCAUCCCACUGCCAUGUCCCUCUGCUCUGUGCAGAGCUCGGCCUCGCUUCCUGGAGAGGAGCCGCACUUUUUUAUGGCACAUUUGCUGUCUGCAGACUUCCAUUUUGCCGAUUCUGUACCAUGCAAAGAUGAACUAAAUAAAGCGAAGUUGUGCUGCUGCACUCAGGCGCUGUCGGCACUGGGUGGGCUAGGCUCACAACUGCAUGUGCUACACAACUGCAAAACCAAGACAAGUGCAUUUCACACCCAUGCUUGUCACAUUUUGUCAGCUUUACGUAUUUCAACCUGUCUUAAAAUAACCCUCUUAGUUUCCUGCUUCUGCAGUCAGACGGGUGCUGGAGCUCAGAGACAUGCUGUGAGCAGUGGGGUGUCAGGGCUGGAACGAAGCCUCAUCCCCAUGCAUUGCCUCGCUCAGACCUCCCUGUCACUGUGUGACCGAAAUUCAGAGCAACAGCUUGAGCCCAGCUCCUGUCCUGAGCUGCAGGGGAGGAGGUUUGUUAUGAGGUGCGAUGUUUGCAAACUCUCCUGGUGCAGCGGGAGGUUUUAACCUGUAACAAGCACUGGCAUGGGGCUCAUGACAAGAAACCCCCCUGGGGGCAGACCUCAGCCCAGGUUUGUUGUGCUGCAGGCAGUGUUAGAUGGUGUGGGAAACAGGAGAGCGAGGGGCUCGCUGCCUUUAAUGGAGACAGUGCCUGGGACAUCCCACUCAGGGCAUCAUCCCCACCUGCAUGUCCCUCAUGUCAUCCCGUGAACAUUCUCCCUUGCAGCAUCAGCAGUCAUCCUGGUGCCUUGCCCGAAUCACCAUGGGUUCAAUUCUGGCUGCCCUUCUGGGUGGCAAGGCAUGCUCAGCAGCGGCAGCAUAGGGAAGGAAGGUGUGAUUGGUGAGAUGGGGCCAGGGCUGCACUUUAAAGCCUCUGACUGCAAUCCCCGUGAGCAGAUGAGGAAGCGUCACAGCAAACUGCACUGAGCACCGACCAUGCAGCCCCUCCAGCGUGCCCACCUGAUCCUCCUGCUUGCCCUGGUCGCCCUCUGCUUGCCCUUCAUCCAGGCGCAGGACAAGGCGGGCAGCGGUGGCCCCAACAACAACAGCACCAUGCCUCAGAGCAGCCUGAGCCCGCCGGGCAGCACCCCCGCCAUCCUCCUCCUCGCGCUGGGGCUGGCUGCAGCCUUCCUCCAGCAGCUGCCCUGAAGGGGAAACUCCCUCCCUGCCCUCCCCGUGUCCCCCCAUGAAGACGCCCCCAGGACGUUGUCCCCCUGCCCCGCCAUGCCUGUGGUGCCCCACCAUGGCCGCAGCCUCUGGCAGCCCCGAAGCUGCUUGGCCCUGGAGUGGGAGCGCUGCAAGACUUUGAGAAAUAAAAUGUGGAGGCUUUGAGGUA